rnacentral:rRNA from 1 species
CCUACGGGAGGCAGCAGUGAGGAAUAUUGGUCAAUGGGCUUACGCCUGAACCAGCCAAGUCGCGUGAGGGAAGACUGCCCUAUGGGUUGUAAACCUCUUUUGUCAGGGAGCAACACCGGCUACGUGUAGCCGGACUGAGAGUACCUGAAGAAAAAGCAUCGGCUAACUCCGUGCCAGCAGCCGCGGUAAUACGGAGGAUGCGAGCGUUCUCCGGAAUGACUGGGCGUAAAGGGUGCGUAGGUGGUUCAGCAAGUUAGUAGCGUAACUCCGGGGCUCAACCUCGGCACUACGACUAAAACUGUUGGACGUGAGUGCAUGAGGGGCAACUGGAAUUCCUGGUGUAGCGGUGGAAUGCGUAGAUAUUAGGAGGAACACCAGUGGCGAAGGCGAGUUGCUGGACUGUAACUGACACUGAGGCACGAAAGCGUGGGGAGCAAACAGGAUUAGAUACCCCAGUAGUC